ACAGACCACCACAUCAAGGCUGGAUGAGGUAACCCAGUAGGAGGAAAAGGGUCCCACAAGUAGGCAAAAGAGUCAGGGACAGGCUCCACUCCCACUAUCAGGAAUCCCACAAGACCAUCAAGCUACUCAGCCAUUACAUAUAUGCAUAGAACUGAGGUCAGACCCCUACAGACUCCCUGAUCUCUGUGAGCCUACAUGAGUCCUGGUCAGGUGAUUCUGUGGGAUUCCAGAUCUUAAGGCCCAUCUGGGAUGCAGAGCACUGCCAGGUGGUGAGCAUACCUCUGCAUAGCGAUACUGGACUUCUUUUAGAUAACAAAUGUGAUCCAUACAGGCGAUACUAGGGGCUGAGGUGCUGCUCCUAGGGACUCCCACCCCUGAAUAUGAAAAGCCAGGUCUUAACUGCCAGGUGGAUGCAUCUGAGUUCUUUAUUCCUUUGGCUCUGAGAAAUCUUGGCCUCAUUUAUAUCUACAUUGGAGGUCUAAACUAUAGAACUACCACUGCUGUGUUGUGACUCAUGCCUGAACCCCACACUGGAGGUCCUCUUUGAACUAUAUAUAAUUUCAUCAAUGCUGUGUGUUACUCUGCUUGCAGCAGACCAAGGAUGAAUUCCUUAAGGAUAGGGAUUCCAUGUCUACAGGGCACAUGAAUUCUGUCCCAUGGCUUACAGAAUUACUCAACAUUGUACUUAAUGGACACUGGGUGCCAUCCCAGUGGAGGGAACCCAGAAUAACAUGUUGUAGUGUGGAUCUGGAGUUACUCCAAAGGCCUGGUCUCACAACGGUGCUUCUGGAAGGUGACGGAACAUUUAGGAAAUGGAGCCUUGUGACAGCUCUUCUGGAUACAGGAGGCGUAACAUUGAAGGAGAUUGUGUGGCCCCACUCCCCCCCUUUUUUUUUCUCUUUCAUUUUCUACCAUGAUGAGAAUGCCUUUGUUCUUCCCAUCCAUAUUCUUCUUCCCCAAGGCAAUGGCACCAAGUAAUCAUUUGUCCCAAGCAGAGACAAAUAAGCCUUUUCUAUUAUUACAAUGAAUCCCUGAGGUAUUUGUUAUAAUAACAGAAAGCUGACCAAUGCAAAUAAAUCUCCAAGGUGGAGAUCACAAGUGCACAGAUUUUAUUAGGGGCGAUACCCAUGUGAGUUCCAUUAGGGAGGGAGCCAAGACAGUUGAGUGCUGCCAUCUCCCUCUGAGGAUUAGAACGCAGUGACAUGCAUGUUAGGUUUUUGUACCCACACUCACAUGCUGGCAUUGCUCAAGCAUGCUGAAACUGCUUAGUCAUACUUGGAGCACUUUCUUUGUGGCUCCCUUACGGUUUGCACAGAAUGGAAGUUUCAGUUCAUGAAGUGAUGGCAAGGAGUUUGCAGCCACAGAGCAUCAUAGUACCAGCACAGGCAGCAUGAAGACUGCAGAGGCUUUGAAAAAGUUGACAAGUAGCAAAGCCUUUUCUGGAGUAACCUGAGGUCUGGGAGAAACAUGAAGAUUUUUAGCUCAGCAGAAUCUCAGAGAUGGCCCAGAAGGCAGCACUCAUCCCAAAAGAAUAGGGGUCUUUGUGUGCAGGGUCUGGCUGUGAGUUGUAUUGCCCUUGCCUGAGUACAUCACCAUGGACUUUACUUUGCAGAAGUUUACACUACUUGAAAGAGGAAGUUCUAUAACAGCUUAACUCACAUGAAAAACAAGUUCCCCAGAUUUCUCGUCCUGCUCUUUGUGGCCUCACCUAAUGUCCUGCACAGAGCAUUGAACAUCACAGCUCAGCCUCAUUCCUUGUUUGCUCCUGUGGAUACUUAGGACAGGAAUGCAGAAUCCAUUGAGAGGGUAAAGAAAAGACUGUGUGGGCAAAAAGCAGGAUUGGAAGAAGAGUCCUGUCUCUUGGAUCAGCUCUAUGAAUCCUUUUUUUGGUUUUGAUUAUUUAGUUAUCUAUUAUAUUAUUAUUAUUAUUAUUAUUAUUAUUAUUAUUGUGUGUGUGUGUGUGUGUGUGUGUGUGUGUAUGGUGUAUCUGAGGACAACUUUGUGGAGUUUAUUCUUUCCUUUUACCUUCACAUGGGUCCUGGGGCUAAAACUCAGAUAAGCCAAUUUGCCCAAUAAUCAGUUUUACCCACUGACCUGUGUUUGAAAGAGUCCAUGUCACACACAAUAAAGCAGUUUCCAGUCUGUAAAUUGACCAUGUGACCCAGACAAGGUUAAGUAGGAGUUUUUGUCACCUUAAGUGAGAAACUGAAGAGUUAAAGGACAGGAAAAUAAUGUCAGGGGACUCUUAGUACAGUGUCGCUGUGGUUUGGAAUCCAGCCUAGUCACAGGCAUGGGAAUGAAAACUGCAAUUAGCCUUUCAGGCUUGUGUGUUGGGAUUGAACUUCUGUGACUGACUCUCUGUGCUGGGCCACGGGAAGCUCCCGUUUUUAUGUGGGUAGUUCACAUCCAUGCAAAGUAUGGGAUCAGAUCUCAGCGGGGCUGCCAGUGCCCUUUGUUUGAUUUCUAACACACACACACACACACACACACACACACACACACACACAUUGAAGAGAACAGCUGUGAGUAUCCAUCACACCAUGCAAAUGCGUACAUGCAGCAUGCAUCCAGGUAGCAGCCCUCUUGUCUAUUUCACAGGCUGAUUCAAGUUCAGUUUUACUCUAUUUCUUUUCUCUGUGUUGGCAAAGACAUUAUACAUUUUCUCUAUGUUGGCAAAGAUGUCAUGUUCAGACUAAGGGAAAACUCUUUUCCCUGCUGGAAAUUCCUCAGUGAGCCCUGCUGCAGAAAGAAGUGGUAGCAAGAGAAGCUCUGCCACCUGUUCAAGGCAGGCCCCAGUACAUCUAGUCCUAUUAAGUCAAUACUGCUGACAAGGGGGGACCAGGGCCUCCUAGGAUUCUACACACCCUAAUGUUCAUUAGGUUUGCCAGACUCCCUGGGAUUUGUGGAGAGAGCUGCCUCCAGCCAUUGCGAGCUGAGCCUGGAUGGAAAACCUGGGACCAAGAUGUGUGGAAAUCCUAGGCUUGCAUUUUUUGUUCAGUGGAAAGGCCAACACUGUCUCCUGUAAAUUGUCCUUACAGUACAAUUCUGGGAGUGGCUAUCCCUUUUCUGUCCCCAGUCAGGACUGGCUGCCUACCCCACCUCCAGACUCCCCUGAGCUAUGACCUUCUGAGCAAUCCCCUUCAGGGAGCUAAUGUUCCCUCCACCCUGUCCAUACUUCCUCUGCAUUUCCUUUCUCCAAACAAGGCGUUGCCCCCUUCCUGUUUCCCUGUCGCUAAUGACUUCAAUCUAGGGAAGGGAAAUGUCACACUAAGCCCCUUCCUUUGUCCUUGCCCUCAGACUUUGAUUUCAGACUAAAGCCAGUGCAUGGUAAGGAUGAAAGAUGGGUGCCCUUACCCAGACACUCUCUCUGAUGCUUACUGUUCAAAGAUCCAGCCCUGUGGGGUGGGGCAGCCUUCAAAUCAGCCUUCAGAAAUCAUGAUUGCUGACAUGGCACUCCAGGCAAAGCCUGGAAUAGUAAAACAUCCCACAUGAAAAUCCUGUCAUAGUGAGAAACACACCUUAACCGCUCCCUGCCUCUAAUACCGGAGUGAAACACUAGAGACAAAGGAAAUGUGAUUUCUUUUUUUAAGGUUGUGAGUCUUUAUUAGAACACAAAUAUUGUCAAAGGACAGUAUUGGGUACUUGUGUAAUGUAUGUGUCACUAGUUUUUGAUUAUUGUUUCUAUGUUCUUCCAAAUUGUCAGCACCAGUGCAAAGUGGGAAUUCUUCCCAAGGGAGACAGAGCUGAAGAGGGACUGGAACAGGGUUCCAGCUCAAUGGCUGAGGAGGUUCCUCCAUUAGGGAGGACUACUAGCUAGAUCCUCCAUUGGUUAUGUCAUGCAGAAACACAAUGGUCCCCAGAAUGGUGUGUGGAAGGCCCAGUGUGGUAGCUGACCUUUCCCUCACUGCCCUCUGGACUGGAGUGUAGAGACAGGGCAGGAAUUCCUUCCAGGAAUCUCACUCCACCUCCUGGGCUGCUCCACCCUCACAGCUGCCUUCCCUCCUGAGUAAAGAGGUGUUGCUACAAUAGUAAGGAGCCCUGGGGUCAGGGAAGAUGUGGUUCCUCUCCCAGGGGCAGAGGAAACUUUCCUGGGCACUGGUUGCCAGCUUUUGAGUAUGAGUAACAAAGAUGACAAUCCCGUGCCCCUUUAAAUACUGUGCAUGUGGCAAAGCAUCUUCUGUGAGUCACUUUUAAUUCCCUUGGGUAAUGCAGCAGAGACCCUAAACUUAGCCUCCAUUUUGUUGAAAUGAGGGUUGAGAGAAGUCAAGUGACUUGUCUAAAAUCACAUAGUAAUUUGGCAAAUAUAGCCCUACCAUCUGUUGGGGGACGUCCCAAGGCCUUGGCGAAGUAUUUGAAACCAUGGGUAGCACCAAAUCCCAGGAAUAUGAUAUUUCCCCUCUAUAUCCAUAUCUAUAAACAUUUUCCUUAUGAAUCAGCCACAAUAUGAGGUUCAUAUUAGCUAAUGAGGUAGGAUAAUCACAGCAAUGCUAUUUAAAACAGAUGUGCUGUUUGUUCCUGGAAUUUUUAGUUAAUAUUUUUGGGGGAGGAAGUGACUAUAUUUAUGGAUUAUCUACUCCACUAAGCACCAUUACUGCUGUCACAUGGUAUAUGGCAGUACAGGACAGAAGGUCCCUUGUCCUGGCACACUCAGGCUACACUCAGUGCUUCCUGAGAGUGACAGGUUGCGACAGUUUGUCCUAAAAUGGAAUCAGGAAGAAAUACAGUGUUUCUGAGCAUCCCCUUUCGGAUGAACCAGGAUACCCUUGCUGCCUCAUCCAGACACAUGUUAGAGCAAGAGGAUCCUCACUGUCCCUGGGUGGCCAGUGGCUCUGAUUCACAGCCUGCUCAGCUCUCAGCACACAGGGUUUCAAGUGAGUUGGCAAUCUCCAGAAAAGUGGAACUCAGUGAGCGACACUAACCAGUGCCCAUAGUGAGUGCCACUCACCCUCUGGGUGAGACAAAUAACACUGGGAAAUAUUCCAAAAUUUAGGAAAAACUAAACAAUGUGUAUGAAUCAACUCUUGGAUCAAACCCAGAGAAGUACAUGUGUUGGGCAUGUGCUCUGCUACUGAGCCAUACACACACACACACACACACACACACACACACACACACACACACAGCCCUGUAAAACAGACUUAAAAAUUCUUUCAAUGUAGUACCACCCUCCUAUUAAAAAAAAUCAUCAAGAGGGAGAGGGGGAGAUGAAAAUUAAAAAUACAUUCCCUACAUCAAAAGAAGAUGUAGCUACAAGAUCAGCUCCACAGAAAGAAGCAAAAACACCAGGGAACAAACAUCUGCUGCAAAGACUUCUGGAAGAUGCCAGUCUGCUGUUUGUGAAGGUGCCUCUCCUGAGCUCCAUCUGACUUAUGUUCCAGAUGCUAAACAAACAUCACAGGAAGAGACCAGGGAGCAACUUAGUGGCGAAGUGCUUGCCUUUUGGUCCUGGUUUCCUAGCUCUGAAAAAAAAAAAUCUAGGAGGCCAGGCUUUAGAUAAGGCUUCUGCACUGAAUCCUGACAGAGCAGGAUAAAAAUUAAAAUAGAAUCGAAUAUGCUCAAA